rnacentral:lncRNA from 1 species
CAUUUUCAUUCUACUUAAACUCAUUCUUUCCUAACUUUCUAUCUUCCUGCAACUUGUGUGAAUGUGUGAGUGCGUGUGCUUAUGUGUUAGAGAUUAGUUUAUAUGUCUUAGAUUUAUCUAAUAAAGCCUUAUUCAUAUUGAAAAGAGAAGUAUCUUGUGUUUUGUGCUUACAAGUUAAUGUCUUAAACUGCUGAUCUUUUUACUGUGCUAAUUAAUAGUGUUUUCACUAUACUUUGGAUAUUAAUAUCCAGCACAGAUUUGAUGUUAAACGGCUCGUUCAGUGAAUCGCUGGCCGUUUCAGUGAUCAGCCGUGAAACAGUGAUUCUGUUCAAAUUCCCUUUAAAAUCUUAAAUGAUUCCCUUUGAGCUAAAUUGAUCUGUUUCCCUUACAAAGUCAUCUGAAAAGAAGAGAACAUUGGGGACACAACCAAACAUUUUAAAAUGGAUGGCAGAUUAAAAUACUAUUUAUUUCAUAUAUUUACUAUUUUUUAGUUAUUCAGUCAUAUUUAAUUGUGGUUUUCAACGGAUGGCUUUCAAAAAUGAGGAGGUACUAAGGAAAUUAUGGGUCCUGAUUUUACCCUUGUACUGUUUAAACAACAGAAAGUUAGACAGCACAUUCGUGGUCUAAAAAUUUAUUGUAGAAAUGUCUGUACAUUUACAAUAAAAUGCUGAACAAAAAUGUUUAAUAUUAUUCUAUAGGUUGCGAUGUGAACCUGUGCCCUAUUCCCACAAUACAAUGUCCACUGGGCUUUUACCAUCCUUCACAGGUGUGCACUCAUUCAUUCCCUAUUCUUUACAGCACCCAUGGAAGUCUGUGUCCAUAAUACCACAGUAUAUCAGCCUGGCUCAACUAUACCAAGCGAUGAUCCUUGUACACUUUGUUAGUGUGGUUGGAACGUAGAUCCUGAAACAAAUCUUCUUGCUCCAGAGUGUGUGAUAGCUGACUGCAACAAUAACUGUCCAGAGGUAUAAACAUGUUUGUGUCUGUAAUAAAGACACAUAAGGGUAAAAACUGGCUUUCAGAAAAAGCUUUAAAAGAAGUCAGUGUACAGUUAUGUAUCAACUACCAGGCAAUGUGAUGUAUUUCUCUAUCUGUUUUUCCUUCGGGGUCAUGAGUACCAACUCAUUCCUGGUCAGUGCUGUGGAGAGUGUGUUGGCACUGAUUGUGUGGUUAUGCAUGACAACAUCAGUUACCGUUUCAGUUCUGACAUAACAUUUAUUUUAGCAUUUUAACAAUUGCAUUGCAAAGUGCAUUUCAUAUCAUCAAAUUAAUGAAAUUUUUAAUGUUUGCAACUAACAGGUUGACCAGAUAUGGCAACCAUCUAAUGACAAAUGUGUGAAAUACAAGUGAGAGAGUCGAUGGUAACUCAAUGACAGUUGAGAUUAAGACCACUUGCCCUGCCUUCAGUCCUGAGAACUGUAUCCCUGUAAGUGUCACAGCCACACCAUCUACACUCCCUGAAUCGGACACUUACGCCACGCCCACACCCUUCCCCUGGUCCCAGUUGCGUUAGAACAACUAUGCGGAGCCAAAAUCUUCACAAAACUGGACUUGAGGAGCGCCUAUAACUUAAUCCGCAUCCGGAAGGGGGACGAGUGGAAGACUGCUUUCAUCACUCCUUCCG